rnacentral:rRNA from 1 species
UAGUGGCGAACGGGUGAGUAACACGUGGGCAAUCUGCCCUUCACUCUGGGACAAGCCCUGGAAACGGGGUCUAAUACCGGAUAAUACUUUCUCCUGCAUGGGGGAGGGUUGAAAGCUCCGGCGGUGGAGGAUGAGCCCGCGGCCUAUCAGCUUGUUGGUGGGGUGAUGGCCUACCAAGGCGACGACGGGUAGCCGGCCUGAGAGGGCGACCGGCCACACUGGGACUGAGACACGGCCCAGACUCCUACGGGAGGCAGCAGUGGGGAAUAUUGCACAAUGGGCGGAAGCCUGAUGCAGCGACGCCGCGUGAGGGAUGACGGCCUUCGGGUUGUAAACCUCUUUCAGCAGGGAAGAAGCGUGAGUGACGGUACCUGCAGAAGAAGCGCCGGCUAACUACGUGCCAGCAGCCGCGGUAAUACGUAGGGCGCAAGCGUUGUCCGGAAUUAUUGGGCGUAAAGAGCUCGUAGGCGGCUUGUCGCGUCGGAUGUGAAAGCCCGGGGCUUAACUCCGGGUCUGCAUUCGAUACGGGCAGGCUAGAGUGUGGUAGGGGAGAUCGGAAUUCCU